UGGGGAGUGGCGCACGGGUGCGUAACACGUGGCUGAUCUGCCUCAGAGUGGGGAAUAACCGCCCGAAAGGGUGGCUAAUACCCCAUAAGCUCACGCCCAAUAGCAGGGUGGGAGAAAAGGUUUACCGCUCUGAGAAGAGGCUGCGGCUCAUCAGGUAGAUGGUGGGGUAACGGCUCACCAUGCCGACGACGAGUAGGGGGUCUGAGAGGAUGAUCCCCCACACUGGGACUGAGACACGGCCCAGACUCCUACGGGAGGCAGCAGUGAGGAAUAUUGCACAAUGGGGGCAACCCUGAUGCAGCGACGCCGCGUGGGUGAUGAAGGGCUUCGGCUCGUAAAACCCUUUUCUGUGUGACGAGUAAGGACGGUAGCACAGGAAUAAGCCUCGGCUAACUACGUGCCAGCAGCCGCGGUAAAACGUAGGAGGCGAGCGUUAUCCGGAGUUACUGGGCGUAAAGAGCGUGUAGGCGGUUGCGUAAGUGGCUUGUGAAAGCGCCCGGCUAAACUGGGCGAGGACAGGUCAGACUGCGCGGCUAGAGGACGGUAGAGGGGUGCAGAAUUCCGGGUGUAGCGGUGAAAUGUGUAGAGAUCCGGAGGAAUACCAGUGGUGCAGACGGCGCCCUGGGCCGUACCUGACGCUGAGACGCGAAAGCGUGGGGAGCGAACGGGAUUAGAGACCCCGGUAGUCCACGCCGUAAACGAUGCGAACUGGGUGUUCACCCUCGCAAGAGGGGGAGUGCCGCAGCCAACGCGCUAAGUUCGCCGCCUGGGGAGUACGGUCGCAAGGCUAAAACUCAAAG
rnacentral:rRNA from 1 species